CAGUCGCCACGGUAAUACGGAGGGAGCUAGCGUUGCUCGGAAUGACUGGGCGUAAAGGGCGCGUAGGCGGAUGGUACAGUCAGAUGUGAAAUUCCCGGGCUUAACCUGGGGGCUGCAUUUGAUACGUGCUGUCUAGAGUGAGGAAGAGGGUCGUGGAAUUCCCAGUGUAGAGGUGAAAUUCGUAGAUAUUGGGAAGAACACCGGUGGCGAAGGCGGCGACCUGGUCCUUGACUGACGCUGAGGAGCGAAAGCGUGGGGAGCGAACAGGAUUAGAUACCCGAGUAGUCCCUGUCUCUUAUAC
rnacentral:rRNA from 1 species